rnacentral:misc_RNA from 1 species
ACGGCAAUGUGCUGUUUGCAAGGCUUGUGUGUGCGCGUGCACAGCUAUCCGCCUUUGUUGUGGUACUCCUCCCUCCCUCUGCUCUGUAGAACUGGGUCUCUGUGUGACGUCCACAGGCUUACCUGCCGCCCCCACCUUUCCCACUUUCUAUCAAGUGGCUUCCGCCCAACUGCCUCGCGCUGCAGCUUCUUUUUGUAGGCUGAAACAUGGGGUAUUGGAGGCGGUAAGGGCUCAAUACCGCGCAUAUGGUUGCGGCGCGGUUGUUGGCUUCUCUGUUAGGCUUCACGGGCGAACACAGACACACACACACACACACACAAAUCUUCGACAACCCAUGUGUGAUGGAAGCGUCGAGGUUCCAUGGAGGCGCGCACAAGGCAAAAGGCGGCGCAGCGACGCGGCUGCCCCUGUCUCCCUCGCCACCCCUCCCAACAGCAAAAAAAGAAAUCGUUGACUCAACGGUAAAGGCGCUACACAAAUGAAGAAUAACCCGCGCGAGAAAGACUGUGGGCUGAGAGAAGAAUGCCCGCCGUGGUGUGUGUUCUGAAGGAUCUCACCCCCUCUCCCGAACAUGGUUUAGAUGCGCAUGUGCGCUUGAAGGAUCUGUUCCGUCUCCCGCAUGUUCAUCAUUUCCACAGCCUCACGGACACGAAUCGCCGGACGUAGGUGGACGAUGGAGGCCAAAUGGACUACGCUGGGAGUUCUCUUGAAGUUAUGCCUCGCUCGCCGAGCGCCACGUGAAGCGUGCGCUCAGCAGCGUGUUGUUAUCGACGACGCUACAUGGGAUCUUGCAGUGCCUCAGUUGGUAAACGUCUGAUGGAGACGACGACGAACAAGAGGAAUGUGUUGUGCUGCACCGAUGCUACCCAAAUGAGGGCGAGAUGUGCAGGAAACGGAAAUCAGAAGGAAAAAAAUCACCGGUGGAUAUGACUGGUGGAGCAUUGGGGUGAAAUUUUGGAAACAGGAAACGAAGAAGGACCAGGCCGGCACCCGCGUGCGUCAGGUUGGUUUUGCGUGCAUGAAUGUGCGUGGCUGCAUGCGCCGUCUCACCCGAAGCGUGGGGGGAAGAGGUGCGCCCGCGUGCCAAGGAGCGACUGGAUUUCGACCAUUUUGUGUGAGGGUGCGCGUGAAAUGCUGGUGGAGCCUUGAUGAUCUUUUUCAAACACAGUGUGCAUUAUCCGUCGACACGUGCACACGCACACGCACACGAGGAGGAUGAGGGCCAACGACGCCACAUAACCAAGACGAAAGCAAAGCGCGCGUAGAGAAAAAAACAAAACAAGAGACAAACACUUGCGCUGCUGCGCAGGCUCGCAGAUGAGGAUGAAAAAGAUGUUUUUUUUUUUUCGCGCUUCACCCGCACGCACACAUGUGCUUUCACGGCGUGCACGAUAGUAAACUACCGCGGUUU